rnacentral:lncRNA from 1 species
CGGCAGGAGAUCGCAGUAAGGGCGUAGCGCCCUAGCUAGCUAGUAGAGCCUUUCCUAUUGUACUAGAGCACCCUCGUGUGCAUGGUUAUAGAUGACAUGAUGUAUUUGUGUAGCUAGCGAUUAUAUAUAUGUGAUAUGAUUUGUAUUUCAUUUUGGAAGCUUAAAUGUAACCAAGUUGUAUUAAAUGUUGAAUGUCAAAGUGAUGUAAUAGACAGUCAUAUCUCUCUUUUAUUCACGUUGUUUACGCUUGUGAUGCUUGCUCUUGUAAUGUUCGGCACUGGUUUGUGCCAUCGCUAUUGUUUUGAUCAUGUAUGUAUUCAAGUUGAUUUCCUGAGAACUUGUUGUACAUGAUCCUGUUGUUACCUUGGCGGACAGGGGAGGUCUGUCCGUUCGGCGUCUGUUCCGACGCGCCCGGAUCGUACCAAAUUGGUAGCGGUCGCCGGGCGUGACAAGAUAAAUGUCAUAGCAGCGAGUAAGAGCUACCAAAGAGAGAGUCUAAGGAUUGACUAAGGAGAACCUAGACCGGAAAUCUUAAGCUAAGGUGCUGAGUGACGGUGAACCUAUGCGUUGAUGGCGGGAGUUGAUUCGAUUUGAUGUCGAAGUUGGAUAGUAUGUCGUAAUGGUGUAGAGAUGGAUUCAAGUGGUAUGAGUUAUUGACUUGAAAGUGGUUGAUGUGGCGCGACACACAACCUAAGGGUUUAGAACAAGUAACAUCUUGUGUCGGCUUCCGCUAAUUCUCGAUGUGAGUCGUGUUAUGUGUAAUUGCUGCGAGGUUAAUGGUUAAGUUAAUUACCCGGUUAUGGCGUUGGCGGUGACUAAAUUCCCCAAGACGCGUACAUGCGCAGAUCGUUCCGGCCCGUCUUCGAGGUGUCCAGAGCAGGCUGGACCUCGAUGGCGCCAGAGCCUGCUGGGGCAGCGAGGUGGGCAGGAGUUAACGAGCGCAAGUUACCGCGCAACCAGUCAGGUCGAGCGGCUCAGGCAACUUUUGGAGGCGGCAGGUGCGGCACACCGCGCAGGAGUUGAUGCCGUGGUCCCCCGAUGCCUCGGCUCGCGGCGCCAAUGCUGAGGUGUGGGCAUUGCGGCAGCCCCGGCGGCGGCGCAUUCCCCGCCAGCAAGGUGCUCCUCCGCAGUUCGGGUUCGCGAUACCCCGAUCGUGGCCUGGCCGAGGAGAUGGACGCGCAGAGCGCUCGUUGAGGCUCUUAUUCACGACCUCAAGAAGUUCAACCCACCAAUUUUUGAAGGGAGAAAGUGGAGCCGUUGAUGGUUGGAGUCAUGAUUGACUCAUGGAGACAUCUUUUUGAGGUCUCUAUAACUCCGGAGAAAGACAAGGUGUAUCUCGCCCCCAUUGCCUUGGAAAGCGCGGAGGUGUGGUGAAGCGGUUGAAGCGGGAUCGACCCUACUGACCUUCAACCCAAUGCUCGUGGAGAAGUUCCAAGGAGGGAGAUGUUUGGGAAAUUUCCCCGACACCGGAAAGCGAAGUUAAAAGGAGAAGUUCCGCAAACGAGAACCAGGGGAUCGUUCCGGCGCUUACGGAGCAGGAGUUCUCCAUAUCAAAGCACUGCGUCCGCUCAGGAUGUGUUAAGAGAUGACGCAGAUUCGAGCCGAGUGGAUUUAUUGGCGGAGACUUCGGCCGUAGGAUAUAUAAAGCGUGAGCUGUUUAAGCUCACUGACUUUAUGCCAGAGGUUUUGAUCGAGCACUUGUGGGCGGGAGCAUGGUAUGCCAACGUGCGAGAGGAGCGGAGGCUCGAGAAAGAAAGGGAAGAAACGACCUGGACGUACCUCGAGGGGACAGUCAUAAGUUUCACCCGAGCCCCGAAGCCAUUCGCGAGAGACAGUUCGAGAGCCAGGGAGCUGUGCGAUUGUGUGAUCUGUGGUGGGAGCGCAUCGCGCAGGAUUGUGAGCAUCGGCGGGGCGAUAUGUCAGGUGUGUCAGCGGGGCAUAUUGAGCCGUCAGUGUCCAGCAGGAUCGCCGCCUGUCCGUCAUGCAUCCGCCCAAUGUGCCUCGAGCAGUUGGUGGAGUUACCCUACUGCGACUGCGGACCUGCGGAAGGCGCCGCGUCAGCGUCGAGGACCCGGUCGCUCGAUGGCCGGGUGUUCGCUCGGCAAGUCGAGAGCCUGCCGAGUUUGAGGCGCACGACGUCCAUGGCAUGUAUGAAAUUUGGUUUGAGGCAUAAAUAACUCCUGCAUGACAUGAAUUUAGGUUGCAAGUGCAUUUACUUAAUACUGACAUUUACUACUAAUGCACAAGUAUAGUAGGGACCAGGAUAUGAAGUCGGAUUAUACCUUAUGCAUGCAUGGAGUUGAGAUGAUGUGUCACGCUACCAAAGAGAUCGUUGGUUGAACACGGUGUAUCAGGCAGUGGCGUUGCCUACUCGGCGUACGUUGUGACGCUUAAUAGUGACGUGUGUUGCUGCGCUCGGUGAGCGUUGUCGGUGAACGACGUUGCGGGUAUUUGCUUGAGGACGAUCCGUGCGCUGGACACAUCGCUGGACUGUGGAGCCUGGGCCUUAUGACAGGCCAGUCCAGCGUGGGUGACAGCGACCCGGGGUAGGGCAGAGAUAGGGUCAGACAGCGGGUAGUCCGAGCUUUAACCCGGGAUCGUGGGACUUCCACGUGAUAGAUCGUGGGAAUCUGAGAUGCACUGAGAGUGGCGGUUGUAGCCCAACCUCAGGAUUGAAGUGGUUUGGGUCCGUGGUUACUUCUGGUUGGAGUUGUGGCGCAUUCUCCAAUCGAAGAAUUUCGCCCAACUGAGAUUGGUCUAACGAUCCGAGGGCGAGAGACGCUAGCGUAUUGCGACAGGCUUAGCGCUAAGCCUACAUAGAUUUGUGACGUUUGUCCAUCUGUGACCGGACCGUAAUCGGCUUCAGCGAUGAUGUCUGUGGAUGAGUUGGAGUAAGGAAAGUGAUUCUCGAAAUCGAGAGUUGGACUUCGCGUCUAAAAUCGACCAAUAUGUCGGUGGGAGUGCUUCGGCAAAGCCGAAGAAGUCAAAUGCACCAACAGUGCAUUGGCAAUGGAGUCCGCGAAGCAAAUGGUGCAAAGAAAUGCUGCACUUGGCCGAUUGCUCUCGGGGAUCGCCUGGCGGGAGGACCUGUUCCCAGAACGUUGUCUGCGCAAGUUGCUCCUCGGACCGGUCCCCAGGCAAGGAAGGGAAUCCAGUUGCCCCGAGCGAAGGGUUGCGCAGCGUGCGGGGCAACCGGUCCCUGGCAGAGAGACCGGCCCUAGUGUGAACUUGCCCAAGGCAGCCUGGGUCGUAUUGGAAAACUUGGAAAACUGAAGGAUAACGCUCAUUUUCUAAUUGCACGAUUCGAGAAUGUGCCGGGUAGCCAUCCUCGUAGUAGAGCGAUUUGAGGUUUAGAAGUGGCAAUAAAGAGGUAAGGAAAAGUGUCUCUUGAGACAGUUGAAUACUUGGAUAGGCCACAUGGAAUUGUGGACAAUGCUCUCUUGAGGAUUGAAAAGUCGAGAUAUGGCCGGGGUAUGGAAAGAAAAAAAACAUUCGCAGUAGACAAGGUGAUUGUGGUUAAUCACACCGCGACUGGUUAUCGCAACCAAUGACUAUUGCUUUGAGGCAAUGUUGGUACGAAUCGGAAUGCCCCGAGGAGGAAAGUGAAUGCAAGAAGAGUUCUUGCAUGCGAAUGUAAUUGGCGUUGGAGCGGCGUAGAGCGUUGAGCUCUCGACUUGACGCUGACGAAAGAAGAAACGGAGAACGUAAUGCAGCUGCGAAUGCGAUUGCAAAGUUUUACGAGUUGAUAUUGUACCCUCCGUAAAGCCUUUGGGACAGUUCCAAAUGAGCAUAAGGUCACUCCGAAAUAGAAAAGUGCAUUGAAACCGCGUGUUACUCGAUAAAAUAGAGUUUAGGGCUAUGAGUGAGUUGAAGUUAUUUAACAGUUUCGGAGGAACGAACUCUGUUUAAGGAGGGGAGGAUGUAAGGUACAGGACUUCUAAAACAUGAAGUACGUGUUGUACAUUAAUAGUUCCGUGAGGUUGCGGUGGAAUGUAACAUACGCGAUCUUUAUAUAAAGUGAAAAUAAAUAAAAAUAUGGCGAGAUACUAUUUUAUUAGAUUUAGAGAAGUAAACAUAAGUCAGAAGUGACUUGUCUGAAAUCGGGACGGAAACAGACAGAUCUAGAAUUUUCUGUUGAAAAUGGGACAGAAAAAUUAGCAGAAAAUGCACAGUCUCAGAAAAUUUAUGAAAAUUAGAGAGAUAUGUCAGAAAUAUUUUAUUGAGGCUAGAUUUAAGGUUCAUAUUUUCUGACACCCGUAGAGUGAGAAAUAAAAUCCGAAAGCUAUCUGAUAAAGAUUGCAGUUCGGCCAAGUUUUCGGUGACCAAACGGGGUCGAAACUGAAAUAUAAAAUUUCUUUAUGAACUCUUUUAAGUAAAUACCGAACUUGACUGUCAAGUUUGAGCUCAAUCGGACAUUCGGAGCUCCGGCGAAAGAUAUCAGAUUUAAAGUUGCCUGGAGUGAAUAGUGUUUGGUGUUGACUUUAAUUAGAGAGCUGAUUAGCUUCUUCUUCUCCAACGCAGCAGCAAGCAUCACAGCCACGCAUGGGAGGGGGAGAGAAACCCUCUUUUCUCUCUAAAGAUCUCUCCAUCUCUCUAUAUCUCUCGCUCAAUUCACGGAUGGCGAGAUCGAGCUUGCGAACGCGUUGGAGGGCGACGAUCGAGCUUUCUGUGCGCCCGUUGGAGCGGCGUACUUUCAGUCGCGGCGUUCACUUGGGGGUAAGCUUUCGAUUUUGUUUAAAAUCCUUCAUGAUGAUUCUAGAUAGUAUCUUAGAGUGCUCUAAACAUGUUUCUCUCCAUUUUUAAUUUGAUUAUUGAAGGUUAAUUGCAUAUAGGGCUCAAAAUGGGAUUUUGCAAAUAGGUAGUGUAUGCACUCUUUGACCCUUCGUAAAACCUAAUUGCUAGGUAAAACGAAUGCUUGGCUGGAAGACGGUUCGGCCCAAUCGACAGCCGUUACAAAGUAAUUAAAGAAAACGACCGUUUAGGCCUUCGUUGUCCGCCUGGAGGGCCGAAGGCCGACGUUCGUAAAAUGUUGAAAACGGAUUUAAAGCAUCCGUAAGCGAGAAACCGAAGACCUAUAAUGUUCCAGAUCGCGGAUCGGAGGUCGUUUGUGUGGUCCGCGCGCGGAUAGGGUCGAGCGAGCCGUGCCGCGGGCAGCCGGAUUGCGAGUCGCAUGACAAUCGGGGAACACUGUAAAAAGGUGGGGGGUGUCUUUAUCCGAAGCAAUGGGCUUUCUUCUAUUCCGAUAAAUAGUUGAUGUCAUAUUUCAUAUAUACUGAGUCCUUAGCAUCUAUAGGAUAUAUCGUUAUAGUACAUUUUCUACUUUACUCCGAAUGCAUUCUAGUUGUGUAGUAUUAUAGACUUGACACCUAAAAUCUAGAAUGCAUGAUGAUUAAGGUUGAGACCUAGAUCCUAUAUAUAAGAAACUAAAGAAACUUGGACUUAAUAAAUGAAAACUAGUGACAUGUGAACUAGUUGUAAUGGAGGAUUUAGUAUGCAUGUAGCAUUAUGAAUGGAUUGCAUUGCUAGUUUGAUAAGGCAUAUUAAGCAUUAUACACAUGUGGCCUUAUAAACAUAAUGCUAGAUGAAAUGAAUGUUAACCUAUUUGGUUAAUUAUGGAGAUUAGUGGCAUCUAAAUCUAAGUGUCGUGAACCUAGGAAUAAUCGAGUGCUUAAUGAUAAAUGUUGUUAAACAUAGUUGACAUUAAACCUAUGUUGUGGCAACGCUAAGAGUUGCUUAGACCUAGAUAGUGCGCAUUGAAUUUGAUAUGGUUUGAAACACUUGAAGUGGACCUAUGGGAUACGGUGGAUAUCAAGUGAUGGUUUAACGCUAGUUGACGAAGGGUAUCCUCAGUUUCACACGAGCGGGGUAGCUGCAUUGGGAUGGGGCAUAGCGAGCGGGGUAGCUCCCCCUUGGACUGGAAAAUGAGUCGGCGAAGGCGGGUAGCUCAUCUCCUGUAGAUUUGAGCGGGGUAGCUCUUUAGCCUUAUGAGGGGGUAGCUCUUUACCUACGAGCAGGCGGUUAGCUCUUGACCUUUGAGCGGCGGUAGCUCUUUACCUAUGACGGCGGUAGCUUUUAGCUACGAGCGGGGUAUGCUCUUGACCUUUGAGGCGAGGUACUCUUUUACCUACAGCGGUAGCUCUUUACCUACGGCGGCUCAGCUCUUGAGCUUAUGAGGCGGGCUACUCUUGAACCUAUGAGUUUGAAUUAGAGUGGGCAGGAGCGGGUAGCUGCAUGCCCUUAAGGCAUUGGAGUUAUGAGUUGGGGCGAGGAGCGGGUAAGCUCUUUAUCCUAUAGUGUUAGAGUUGUGGACGGGUGAAAUAGGCGGGGUAUUCUUCACCUACGAGAUUUGAACAAGGGCGGGGUAGCUAGUGGAUUUGGGUAAUUGACAUGAAUAGCAUAAUGGAUUUGCAAUUUCAUAACGCCUGAUUAGACAUAGUAUAUGUUUAGGAUUGCAUACUGUGUCGUAUUUGAUAUUCUUACAUCGUUGAAGCAUAUUAUUCAUAUAGUAAGGCUUAUUGGCUAGUUGAUAUUUCAUGCAUUGCUUUGCAUUUGAUGGCACAAUAGAUCAAGUUGCAGUUCAUAUGCUAUCUAUCUCAUCCUAUCUAUCUAUUCUGGCCAGCUUAGACCAGUGAAGAUCGCGGGAGUCGGACGGCCGGAUACCCACUGUGGACUAUAUUUUUAAUAGUUUCUUCACGUGUGUUUUGGGUACAGAGUACACACCGUGAGCGACCGGCAGGAGAUCGCAGUAAAGGGCGAUGACGCUCUAGCUAGCUAGUAGAGCUUUCCUAUUGUACUAGAGCACCCUCGUGUGCAUGGUUAUAGAUGACAUGAUGUAUUUUGGAUAGCUAGCAUUAUAUAUAUGUGAUAUGAUUAUGUAUUCAUUUUGGAAGCUUAAAUGUAACCAAGUUGUAUUAAAUGUUGAAUGUCAAAUGUGAUGUAAUAGACAGUCAUAUCUCUCUUUUAUUCACUUGUUUACGCUUGUGAUGCUUGCUCUUGUAAUGUUCGGCACUGGUUGUGCCAUCGCUAUUGUUUUGAUCAUGUAUGUAUUCAAGUUGAUUUCCUGGGAACUUGUUGUACAUGAUCCUGUUGUUUAGCCUUGGGCGGACAGGGGAGGUGCUGUCCGUUCGGCGUCUGUUCGACGCGCCCGGAUCGUACCAAAUUGGUAGCGGUCCCGGGGCGUGACAAUU